CUGAGUGAAACUAGCUGUCCAGAGCCCUGCUAGGUAAGCCUCCAGGGGUCUUGAGCCCUGAAAUAACCCCACUCUUACACCAUUGAUUUCCCUUCUUGCAGCUGUGGAAGGAGGUCCCGGGAGGCCAGAAAACAUGGCCACAAUUCUGUCUAGGUUACAGAGAGAGAGAGAGAGAGAGAGAGAGAGAGAGAGAGAGUCAUGUUUGGAGGCGAACCCCAGGCAAAAUAAAAUGAUCUUUUCAUUUCACACUGAGACGACGGGAUGUCAUCUGCACGGGCAGGUUGAUGCUGCCUGUUGCAACCCCGCUUGGAAUACUCAUCUGAGCAGACUCUGUAGACUAGCAGAGACGGUGCUGAACCCCGGCCCCUCCUGGUCUUGGGAUGCUGGGAACGGCUCGAGGGGCCUGGCACCUCAUGGAGCUGCGGUGUCCCUGGGAGCUGCUGGCACUUCGGGUCUGGCCUCUCCUCCCUGGCUUUCAGGGCUCCGCUCACUGCCCGGUCCUGGGAGAAGUCCCAUCUUGGAACAAGUGGGUGAGGAGAGGCGUGUGUGUGUGUGUGUGUGCGAGACACACACACACACAGAGAGAGAGAGAGAGAGAGAGAGGACCUCCUGCCUGCACUCAUUUGCAAGAGCCUGGCUCUCAAUGGCUCAGCAGUUCCCUAAGACCUGAGACCUCUUGCUCCUUAGAGCUUCCCACUUCACUGAUUUGGAGUUUGUUUGGGCUAUUUUGUAUUCCUCUUUCUUUUUCCACCAAAAACAGCAGGUACACAAGCAGGAGGAGGAGGAAGGGAUGUCCCGUCUCCAGAAGCAAGUCUGUGGGCUGAUGGAGGAGGUGUCCUGUCUCUCGGCUGAGAACCAGAGGCUGAAGCAGCAGGUACUUGUGUUGGGGGAGGUGACAAUACAUUUCUUGACUGAGAAGCAACAGCUGAAGCACUCGGGUCAGGAUCCUGGGGAGGUGAAAUCCCCUCUCCCAGUUGAGUUCCCAAAGGUGGAGCAGCAGGACCACAAUCAGGACGAGGUGUCCUGUCUCUCGGCUGAGAACCGGAGCCUGAAGCAGAAGAGCCCUGAUCCGGAGGAAUGGACGUCCUGUCUCUCCGCUGAGAACCAAUGGUGGAAGCGGCAGAUACAUGUGCUGUGGGAGGUGUCGUUCCAUUUUUCCACUGAGAAUCAACAGCUGAGGCAGCCGGGUCAGGAUCCUGGGGAGGUGAAAUUCCCUCUCCCAUUUGAGUUCCCAAAGGUGGAGCAGCAAGAUGGUGAUCAGGACGAGGGGGCCCGACUCUCGGCUGAGAACCAGAAGCUGAAGGAGCUGGUAGACGUGCUGGCAGAUGUUGUGUCCCAUAACCUGUCUGAGAACAAACAGCUGAAGCUGCAGCGCCCUGAUCGGGAGGAGCCGGUGUCCCGCCUGAAGCAAGAGGGGCCACUCAGGGACAGACCGGGAGCCUCCGGAGCCCUCCAAACAGUUAAAAAAACCCUUUUCGCUUCAGUAGCUUCUCCGUCCCUAGGAAGAACAUCUGGCGAAGACUUUUGUGUCCAGUUCCGUACCUCUGGGAAGACGGAUGGCUGCGAGGAGAAGUUCUUAAAGGAUGUCUCCAAGCACCCGUCCCGCAAAGGAGUCUCUCUAAAAGUGAAGGACUUCAGGAAGACCUCAAAGGACCUCCUUCUGCUCUUCUGCCCCAUAGCUUCCCGCAUGGGCACGGACAUCGAAAACGCCCUCGAGGGACUCAGUGGCAAGCAGAAGAUCCUCCUGGUGGUGAUGCACUUUAUCCCAAAGGACAACCCGGGGCCCUUUGUGGACGCUCAGCACCGGGUGACCCAUCCAGCCGUGGUGCGGACUGUGCACACCCGCUUCACCCUCAAGGAUGGCUUCUACCCAUGCAAGAUGAACGAGAUGGCCGUGGCUGGCGUGGCAGCUGCCCUCAAGGCCCUGGCUGAAGAUCAAUGAGGGGGGACUCGGCUGCUCCCAGUCUCCUUCUUGUGUGAUGUCAUGUUCUGGGAAGAGCUGGGGAGUGGGGGAUGUUCAGACGCUGUUGGGGAUUGCUGCAGUGCAUGCAUGCUGGGACUGGCCUGACUUCGCACAUUGGGGGGUGCGGUGGGGUGAAGGGCUUCCUGUGGGUUCUGUCGCAGUGGUUAAACUGCAGCCCUGCAGCCAAGACUCUGCUAACCACCUGGGCUUAAUCUCAGGUUGCUGGCUCCAGGUGGGCUCAGCCUUCCAUCCUUCCGAGGCCAGUAAAUUGAGUACCCAGCUUGCAGGGGGGGGACGGGCAGGGCAAUGUGUAGCCUGCACCUUUAACUUCUGAAAACUGCCAAAUAGAUGUUGGGGCACUCACCACUCUGGUCCAUGUGCUUGUAGUCUCAAGAUAAAUCUACUGUGACACACUCUAUGUGGGGUUACCUUUGAGAUUGAUGCAGAAGCUUCAAAUGGUGCAGAAUGCGGCAGCGAGACUUCUUACUGGGGUGAGAAAACAUCAGCAUAUCUCCCCCACUCUGGCUGCCUUGCAUUGGCUGCCCGUUCAGUUCUGCAUUGAUUUCAAAGUGUUAAUGAUGGCACAUAAAGCUCUAAAUGAUUUAGGACCUUGAUAUCUAGCGGAACGCCUCCUGCCACCUAGAUCUACCCAAAUCAUUCACUCUAGCCAAGAGGGGUGGCUGAGGGGCCAAACGCUGAGGGAGGCCCAGAGGGAAAGAACAAGAAACGGGGCCUUCUCGGCCCCUUGCCUCUGGAACCGUCUGCCCCCCGAAAUCCCUCGCUGGAUGUUUUUAAGAGCAAACUUACGACCUGGCUCUUUCGCCAGGCUUUUCCUCCUGUUGUCACCUGAUUCUUUUUCCCAUCUUGAACUAUAUUAUUACUGUUAUUUUUAUUUUAUUACAUUGUUUUUACUUUUAUCUAUUAUUGUUAGCCACCCAGAGAAGACUUCGGUCUAGGUGGGCGGGUAUAGCUUCACAAAGAAACAAACAAACAAACAAACAAACAAAUAAAUUCUGUGCUUCUAUGAUCCCA
rnacentral:lncRNA from 1 species